GGAGAGGUGGCCGAGUGGUCGAAGGCGCUCCCCUGCUAAGGGAGUAGAGGUCAAAAGCUUCUCGUGGGUUCGAAUCCCAUCCUCUCCG
rfam:Mesorhizobium sp. SOD10 genome assembly, contig: MPLSOD_Contig_4